CUCUAAGGAGACUGCCGGUGACAAACCGGAGGAAGGUGGGGACGACGUCAAGUCAUCAUGGCCCUUAUGACCAGGGCUACACACGUGCUACAAUGGAGCGUACAGAGGGUUGCUAAGCCGCGAGGUGGAGCCAAUCCCAGAAAACGUUUCGUAGUCCGGAUCGAAGUCUGCAACUCGACUUCGUGAAGUCGGAAUCGCUAGUAAUCGCGAAUCAGCAUGUCGCGGUGAAUACGUUCCCGGGCCUU
rnacentral:rRNA from 1 species